CAGGGAUGUUGACUGUGACUGGUACCAGCGACGGCAGCAGCUGAGAUGUUGACUGUGACUGUUGCCAACGAAAGCAGCAGCUGGGAUGUUGAUUGUGACUGGUGCAUGUUGACUGUGACUGGUGCCAACGACGGCAGUAGCUGGGAUGUUGACUGUGACUGGUGCCAACGAAAGCAGCAGCUGGGAUGUUGACUGUGACUGGUGCAUGUUGACUGUGACUGGUGCCAACGACGGCAGUAGCUGGGAUGAUGACUGUGACUGGUGCCACUGACAGCAGCAGCUGUUAUGUUGACUGUGACUGGUACCAGUGACGGCAGCACGGAACUCGUUGAACAGGGAUCUCCCAGACCGCGUACAGUACUUAGACGUCAUAAAGAGCCAGCAAACAGAAAUGCCGACAUUGGAGCUGAGCACCAUGAUAGCGGUUGGCCUCACCACAUCAAUUCAAAGGCAGAUGGGGCCUGAUUGGGGUUCUACCGCCUUGUGUCUUUUAUCUUAGACGAGAGGCGGAUUUAGUGUAGUUGGCUGUCGAUUGCGGUGACUUGAAACACAUUAUUCAAGCAAUCGACGCAACUCGACAAGCCCAUUACCGCAUGUUGGGCGCAGUACAUGGGAGGAAUUAUGAAGACAGCCCAGCUCCCCCUAAACGGUUGGAGGGAUUUAUGGCGUCAGAAUGUGAUGAAAAUUUUGUUUCGUUGUGAAUU